rnacentral:ncRNA from 1 species
GUAUGAUAGUCUGCACUGAUCCUUUGCCGAACGUCCGAGUUCCGAGCACUAUGGCUCGCCGAUGGUCUUGCAAUGCCCCAGCUACAAUCUCGGAAGCGGAGGCAGAGCCACCAUUAACCAUGACCACUAUAGGUAAUCCGUCUGUAAUGUCGCCUGCUUUGGCAUUGAAGCGCCGACUCUCGUCAGGUCGUCUCGAUCGAGUUGAAACAAUCUCACCUUGGUCCAGAAAUGCGUCCGAUACCUUAACAGACUGGUCUAACAGGCCGCCGGGAUUAUUCCUUA